rnacentral:sRNA from 1 species
CGGGUUGUUGCUGGCCCUCAUAGGGGGCAUGUGCACGCUCUGUUUACACAUCCACUCACACCUGUGCACCCUCUGUAGUUCUAUGGUCUGGGGGACCCUGUCUUCCUUCUGUGGUUCUACGUCUUUACACACACACUGUAAUAAAGUUUUAUGGAAUGUACAUCGCGUCUAACGCAAUACAAUACAACUUUCAGCAACGGAUCUCUUGGCUCUCGCAUCGAUGAAGAACGCAGCGAAAUGCGAUAAGUAAUGUGAAUUGCAGAAUUCAGUGAAUCAUCGAAUCUUUGAACGCACCUUGCGCCCCUUGGCUAUUCCGAGGGGCAUGCCUGUUUGAGUAUCAUGAACACCUCAACUCUCAUGGUUUGCCAUGAUGAGUUGGACUCUGGGGGUUUUGCUGGCCUGUGGUCGGCUCCUCUCAAAUUAAUCAGCCUCCCAGUGUUUGGUGGCAUCACGGGUGUGAUAAAUAUCUACGCUCGCUGUUGUCUGCCAGGUAACCUUUGGUCACAAAGGUUUGCUGGAGCUCACAGA